AGUUAACUGGCUUAGUUACAGAACAUUUCCUUUAUGUCUGCAAUUCUAUUCGGCCCAGGUGCCGCAAGUAAGAUAUUUAAACGACCAACCCCUCAAAUGUGAGUAAUGCAGCCGGCUAACAGAAGUCCAGUGGCAGUGACCGGGAGGGGAUAGCGACGGUGUUCCCGAUGCAGGAGGAGAAUUAAAGGAACAUGUCUGUGAGCAAAACUACCCAAUGUCAAGAGAGAAUCAUAUCUCCAAAGACUGGAAAUUGCUACUCUAACCUCCCUGUCAAGCAUAUAAAAUGGUCUGAUUACCAACUAACUGAUAAAGCAGCAUGUAGCUCCAAGGACUAAAAAGAAAAUACUUGAUUGGUUAGAGCAGAGGGAUUGCAGCUUAAAAAACAAACAAACAAAACACCCAAGAGAAGAGCCAAGCAUAGUAGCAUGCAUCUGUUAUCCCAGCUACCUGGGAGGUUGAAACAGGAGGAUCACUUGAGCCCAGGAGUUUGAGGCUGUGUUAUAAUCACACUUGUGAAUAGCCACUGCGCUCCAUCCUGGGCAACAUAGUGAGACCUCGUCUGAGAAAAAAAGAAAAACCUCGAGAAACAAAAUUAAAAUAAAAAACACAUUUACCAACCUAAACUGAAGGUCUGCUUUUAAUUUAAAAAUAGGCAGAUAUACCUAUUUUAGCCAUAUUAUAGCCAACUUACAAACACCUAAAAUAGAUUACACUGGAAAUCUGAAUUCCCAUAAAUGCAAAUUGCUGUGUAAGCACAACAUGGUAUUUAAGUAAGUACUUACUAACCCAUUGUCUUGUAAUGAUGAGUCAUCUGGUUGGAAAUCUACUCACCCAUGGGUAAGGACUACUACAGCUACCCAGUUCAACAACUACAGAAACAGCUGCUGCGUGACUUAGGGAGAAAAAUGGAGCUGAGAAGAGACACAUGAGCAUGAUAUCCCUGGAGCCUCCCCUUCCCUACAGCAGCGUGCAUACACCCCCUCCACUCCCCUCAGGCUCUUAGCUCCCUAAUUUAUGGUGCUGGCAGACCUGAGACAGGAAGGCAGGGGAUACUGCCAAGACCACAGAUGGUCCAGAAAACAGGUCAGUACAAGUGGGACAGUCAGGAAAGCAGCUGCUGACAGCAGGCCCUGGACAUGGUUUAGGUAAAACACUCAUUUCUGGAGGGCCUAUAAGAAGAGAGUAAACUAGUGAUCACAGAUUAGGCACUGGAUUUGAAGUCUCCCUC